rnacentral:tRNA from 1 species
GCCGAGGUGGCGAAAUUGGCAGACGCGCAACAUUGAGGUUGUUGUUCCCAAUAACGGGAUUGGAGGUUCAAGUCCUCUCCUCGGCA